ACGAGAGGAUGGGAGAGGGAUGAAGAGAACGAGAGAGAAGGAAGGAACAGAGAAGAAAAAGAAUUGGCCAACAAAAGUUAACAACCCACACUCUCUCUCAGUUGGAUGAAGAAGCGAUGGCGUCCAUGCUAGCCGACAUCGUAGCCUGCCCUCCAGACAAUGUGCCCUCUGGAUCCAACCGCCCAUCCGAAACAAGGCCAGGCACGGCUCCAUCACAAUACCUACAGAACAACUCGAUUUCUAGCCCCUUCCAUAGUCUCACACAUUCUUUCAUUAUCAACAUACUGCUAAGAGGCUGGGUUUAGACGGGCACCCCAAUUCUGAUCUAUUUUCCACUAAUUUUUUUUUUUUUUUUUUUACACCCCUUUUUCUUCCCAAUUUCAUGGUAACCAAUUGGUAGUUUGUUUUGUCCCAUCGCUGCAACUCCCGUACGGACUCGGGAGAGGCGAAGGUCGAGAGCCGCGCGUCCUCCGAAAACACGACUCAACCAAGCCGCACUGCUUCUUGACACAAUGCCCGCUUAACCUGGAAAGCUAGCCGCACCAAUGUGUCGGAGGAAACACUGUGCACCUGGUGACCGUGUCAGUGUAUACUGCGCCCGGCCCGCCACUGGAGUCUCUAGUGCUCGAUGGGACGAGGACAUCCCUGCCGGCCAAACCCUCCGCUAACCUGGACGACGCUGGGCCAACUGUGCGCCGUCCCAUGGGUCUCCCGGUCACGGCCAGCUGCGACAGAGCCUGGACUCGAACCCAGAAUCUCUAGUGGCACAGCUUAGCACAGCCUUAGACCACUGCGCCACUCUGGAGGCCUCUCAGUAAUUGGUCUUUUGACCAAUCACAUCAGAUCUUUUUCACAACAGAUCUUUUUCAGAGCUGAUCUAAUUGUUCAAAAGCCGGAUUUAGUGAAAUGAAUAUCAGAACUGGGCUGCCUGUGUAAACACAGCCAGCCAUAGAGAUUGGAAUUAGAUUGGUCUUAAACAAUCACAUUUCGUCUUGAAUGCAGGACAGUAGAUUUGUAUUUGUAAUACAACUCUAUGGACUAUUAUUAUUUUAAAAAACGCUUCAAUUAUUUUACAUCAAAACAUAGACUUUGCAGCUCGUACUGGUGUGUGGUGUGUUAGUGAGUGGAGUAGUAGCGUGUUUUUGGAUCUUUAUAGACAGUAUAUGACUUCUGUUCUUUUUGUUCUCCUGUCUUUUCUUACAAAAUAAACGUCAAAAGCAGUUAUCCAUUUCAA